CGGCCAACUACGGCGCCGCCGCGCGCGCAGCCGCCGCCGCCGUCAGCGCCGCGCCCGCUCCCACCGCGCUCGCGCCUCUAGCGACGUAUGGCAGAGAAUACGCAGACCCAUACCUAGGGCACAGCAUCGGCCCAGUCACGGGAUAUGGGACUGCAGUCUACAGAAGCGGUUACAA